rnacentral:rRNA from 1 species
GUCUACGGCCAUGCCACCCUGAACAAGCCCGAUCUCAUCUGAUCUCGGAAGGUAAGCAGGGUCGGGCUAGGUCAGAACUUGGAUGGGAGACCACUUAGGAAGACCAGGUGCUGUAGGCC